rnacentral:rRNA from 1 species
UUGCGGUUAAAAAGCUCGUAGUUGGAUUUCUGUUGAGGUCAGCCGGUGUGCACCUCGUGCAUUAUUUGGUUUGGUCUCGGCAUCCUCCUGGGGAGCGUUUCUGGCCUUUGUUGGACAGGACGAGAUUCAGGACUUUUACUUUGAGGAAAUUAGAGUGUUCACGGCAGGCAAGUGCUUUGAAUACAUUAGCAUGGAAUAAUAAUAUAGGACCUUCGUUCUAUUUUGUUGGUUUCUAGAGCUUAGGUAAUGAUUAAUAGGGACAAUUGGGGGCAUUCGUAUUAACGCGUCAGAGGUGGAAUUCUUGGAUUGCGUUACGACGAACUACUGCGAAAGCAUUUGCCAAAGAUGUUUUCAUUGAUCAAGAACGAAAGUAUGGGGAUCGAAGACGCUUAGAUACCGUCGUAGUCUAUACCAUAAACUAUGCCAACUAGAGAUUGGUGGGGUUCUCCUAUGUGGCUCCAUCAGCAUCUUAUGAGAAAUCAAAGUUUUUGGGUUCCGGGGGGAGUAUGGUCGCAAGGCUGAAACUUAAAGGAAUUGACGGAAGGGCACCACCAGGAGUGGAGCCUGCGGCUUAAUUUGACUCAACACGGGAAAACUUACCAGGUCCAGACAUAGUAAAGAUUGACAGAUUGAUAGCU